UGUUUAAAAUUUCAUCGAUUUCUACUAUUAAAAUUUGACGUAGUUAGCGAAAUAACCAUACAGUUAACAUGGCAUGACACAUGUACCUUAUGCUGGUGUAUAGAGAUCAAUUUUUAACCUUAAAUGGAUAGAAUUUUUAAUA
rfam:Gossypium arboreum cultivar AKA8401 contig_14974_1, whole genome shotgun sequence.